AGUGCGGUCUAUUCUGUUGUUAUCUAGCUUGCACCUUUUUGCGUAUUUCAUUUUAGUGUGUGCGUGCGCCACUGUUCCCCAUAGUUCGUCGGAGGGAUAGUGGCCGCGGCGGGGGAUGAUAGCGUAAGGUCAUGUCCUCGGAGGGUGGGGGUGGUGCCGGGAGUGAGUAGGGGAGCAGGGGGUGGCCAUGCGGGUGGGGUGGGAGGUAAGGGUGGAAAGAGGGCAUCGGACGCUCAUAGAUUAAGGAUUGGGUCAUGGAACAUAGGCACACUGACGGGUAAGUCCAUAGAGUUGGCGAAGGUUCUUCAGGAGAGGAGGGUAAACAUAGCGUGU
rnacentral:lncRNA from 1 species